rnacentral:rRNA from 1 species
UACGUAGGGGGCAAGCGUUGUCCGGAAUCAUUGGGCGUAAAGAGCGUGUAGGCGGCCUGGUAAGUCCGCUGUGAAAGUCCAGGGCUCAACCCUGGAAUGCCGGUGGAAACUGUCAGGCUCGAGUCCGGAAGAGGCGAGUGGAAUUCCCGGUGUAGUGGUGAAAUGCGUAGAGAUCGGGAGGAACACCAGCGGCGAAGGCGGCGCUCUGGGCCGGUACUGACACUGAGGAGCGAAAGCGUGGGUAGCAAACAGG